rnacentral:lncRNA from 1 species
CCGAAUUCUAACUCUUGCAGACUCUACUCCAGCUGGCUGUCCUGCUAUAGACACUUGGUUGCUUUUUUCUGCUUGAUUAUUCCUAUUUGAGUCUGGAAAAUGGAUAUGGCAUCCUGUUUCCUCCAUCACUUUUUUAAUAUUAUUGCCACCUUUCCCUAUCACAUGAGAAUGUUCUGUAUGUGAAACAUCCAUCUUCAAGGUUACCCGGUUGCUUUUUGUGUCCAGGACUGACAUUAUUUUCUCUUUAGCUUCUUUAACAUUUUCCUUCUUUCCAGAGACUUUAAUAUGAGGAUCUUUCUUUGAUUUUGCUCCAAUCUUCAACUUUGAUGGCCAAGCAAUCUGUGUGUUUGUUUCUUCCAUGAUCUUCUGAAAAAAGUCUUCCCCACUUUUCCCUUUGCCCUCAGCAGCAGCUUGGAGCAUGGCCUCCAGUUUCUUCCUGUCCACCCGGAAUCGCUCCUCGCCCCACUCGGGGCUGUGCAGGGGCCGCGGCGGGCCGGCCGAGUCCUCCUCGGAGCCGGGCACGGGAGAGUCGGUGCUGCGCUCGCUGUUGGAGCCCGGGUCGGAGAGCGGCUGCUGCAGGUACCCGCUCAGCGGGUCGCAUUGAGCCGCCAUGGCGCUGCCAGGCGGCCCCCGCCGCCGCUCCGAGUCCCACUCGGCCGCCUCCCCGCGGGACGCUAUCUGCCCCCACAGCCGCCCCCCCGUCUCAUCCCAACCGCCGCCUGCCAGAGUCCCGGCGCCGCCGCCCGCCUCUGCCUCCGGCUCCCUGCCGAGUGCGCGCGGCCCCGGGCCGGCGUCCGCGGCUCGGCGGCGCCCCCAGCCCGCCCGCAGCCCGCACAGCAUCUCCGCCUCCAUUGGGCCGCCGUCGGGCCGGCGGG